GGUUCAUGGCAAGGUCUAAUGUGGGCUAGGGUUAAUCUAAACAUUAAAUCUACUCAAAUCGAUAAAAUCUAAGAGACUUAGGGCUGCUUAGGCGAAUCAACCAAGAAGUAUCUUUUAGUUUUUACCGAACUACUCUGUUCAAGGUAAUUCCUGAUACCACGUGAAGAGUUAGCGGUUAGCUUGGGACUAUGCAACAAAGAUAAUGGGGUAUGUGUCUUUUUGUAUAUCUUGAAGAUAUCAUGUACACGAAUGAACAGA